rnacentral:rRNA from 1 species
GUGUCAGCAGCCGCGGUAAAACCAGCACCUCAAGUGGUCAGGAUGAUUAUUGGGCCUAAAGCAUCCGUAGCCGGCUCUGUUAGUUUUCGGUUAAAUCUAUAUGCUCAACAUAUAGGCUGCCGGGAAUACUACAAAGCUAGGGAGUGGGAGAGGUAGACGGUACUCCGUAGGAAGGGGUAAAAUCCUUUGAUCUAUGGAUGACCACCUGUGGCGAAGGCGGUCUACCAGAACACGUUCGACGGUGAGGGAUGAAAGCUGGGGGAGCAAACCGGAUUAGAUACCCGGGUAGUCCCAGCUGUAAACUAUGCAAACUCAGUGAUGCAUUGGCUUGUGGCCAGUGCAGUGCCGCAGGGAAGCCGUUAAGUUUGCCGCCUGGGAAGUACGUACGCAAGUAUGAAACUUAAAGGAAUUGGCGGGGGAGCACCACAAGGGGUGAAGCCUGCGGUUCAAUUGGAGUCAACGCCAGAAAUCUUACCCGGAGAGACAGCAGAAUGAAGGUCAAGCUGAAGACUUUACCAGACAAGCUGAGAAGUGGUGCAUGGCCGUCGCCAGCUCGUGCCGUGAGAUGUCCUGUUAAGUCAGGUAACGAGCGAGAUCCUUGCCUCUAGUUGCCACCAUUACUCUCAGGAGUAGUGGGGCGAAUUAGCGGGACUGCCGUAGUUAAUACGGAGGAAGGAGAGGGCCACGGCAGGUCAGUAUGCCCUGAAACUCUGGGGCCACACGCGGGCUGCAAUGGUAGUGACAAUGUGUUCCGAAUCCGAAAGGAGGAGGUAAUCCAAAAACGCUACCACAGUUAUGACUGAGGNCUGCAACUCGCCCUCACGAAUAUGGAAUCCCUAGUAACUGCGUGUCAUUACCGCGCGGUGAAUACGUCCCUGCUCCUUGCACACACCGCCCGUC